rnacentral:piRNA from 1 species
UCCAAAUUCUUCUGAUUUCACUAUGAGC